AGAGAGACAAAGUAUCAUGAGAUUAUGAAGGAGGAGGGGAAAUCCCCCUUACUCACUUAAGAGUUACAAAACAUCACUUAUGAGCUUAUAUAUGCUCUUUACAACUUGCAAUCAUAAACCUAAAUCUAAGGGCUGUUAUAACUUGAAUUUAAAUGGAUGAAUGAGAUGGAAAGAUGGUCUUGGUCGUGGCUGUGCUCUUCCUGAUGGAUAAUUGGUCCAUUUGAAUCUGGUCAAGGGAAGGCUGGCUCCUUAUUGGCUAGCUAAAGGCUCCCAUGAAUCUGCCCACUUCUUUUGCUAGAUACAUGGUCUCCUUUUGCUUUUACUUUACAGCAAGAGACUCUCCUUUCCAGCCUGUCACUCGCCAGCCUCUCCUUUGUCUUCUUCUCUUAAGAGUUUCACCAGUGCCCUAUUUUUGC
rnacentral:lncRNA from 1 species